AACCUACUUUUGGAUUUUUUGACUUGAAAAAAAAGAUAAAAGAAAAGCUGAGGAUGAGCUGAAGAAGGCUGUGCAAGUAAAGAGGCAGAAGAGAGCUGCUCGGAAAAAGAAGAUUGAAACAAAGAGGAAGAAGCGAGCUGAUCAGAAAAAGAAUAUUGAAUCAAAGAAACAGAAGAAGAAAGAAGAGUCUGAGGAGUUUGAUGAAUCUGAGCACCAGGAGCAGAAGAGCCCUCCUGCCAAAGCUAUGGUGCCAGCCAAAAAAAAUCUGAAUGUUGUUGCUGCUUAUUCUGAUUCUGAGUCUGAGUCCGAGUCUGAUCAUUCUUGGGGCGGUUAUGUGUGCGAACUUGAUACUGAUGGUAUUGACUCCUCGGAUGAUGAACAUCUGAAAGCACGUAUUGCUGCAAAGACAAUGUCCAUAGGCAACUUUUCAUUUAAUAUUGAUCAAGCGGAAAUUUUAUUCAAAGAUGCUGGUGGAGUUGUUGAAGUUCGUUUCCCAAACAAUGAGGUAGCAGUGUUCCGGGGCUUUGAACAUGUCGAACUUCCUCCUCUUCUUGCAAAGAAGAAACCUGAUCCCAAUCAUAUUCCUUCUGAUCCUGAGUCUGAUUAUUCUGGUGCUGAUGUGAAUGCGAAUUUUGUGUGUAAAAACGAUACUGAUGGUAUUGUCUCCUCAGAUGGUUAACUCCUCAAAAUGAGACAACUAAAUUAGACUCACUACCUAACCUGGCUGCAGCUAGAUCUGAUACAAAGCAGGAAAAUUGAAGCUUAAAGAUUGCGGCUUGGUGCUUUUGAUUACUAUACCGACAAACCAACUUGUUAUUUAACUAGGAUUAAGUUAUUAAUAUAGUGAACUUCUCUUGUUUUUAUGCUGACUUUUGUCACAUGGGAUGUUUGACUGUUAUAUUUUAUACUUAAUCGUUUUGUGAUUUAUCUUAA